rnacentral:rRNA from 1 species
ACGAACGCUGGCGGCGUGCUUAACCCCUGCCAGUCGCGCGGUAAGGCCUUUCGGGGUACACGAGCGGCGAACGGGUGAGUCACACGUGGGUGAUCUGCCCUGCACUUCGGGAUAAGCCUGGGAAACUGGGUCUAAUACCGGAUAUGACCUCCUAUCGCAUGGUGGGUGGUGGAAAGAUUUAUCGGUGCAGGAUGGGCCCGCGGCCUAUCAGCUUGUUGGUGGGGUAAUGGCCUACCAAGGCGACGACGGGUAGCCGACCUGAGAGGGUGACCGGCCACACUGGGACUGAGACACGGCCCAGACUCCUACGGGAGGCAGCAGUGGGGAAUAUUGCACAAUGGGCGAAAGCCUGAUGCAGCGACGCCGCGUGAGGGAUGACGGCCUUCGGGUUGUAAACCUCUUUCAGCAGGGACGAAGCGCAAGUGACGGUACCUGCAGAAGAAGCACCGGCUAACUACGUG